GCAAGAUUAAAACUCAAAGGAAUAGACGGGGACCCGCACAAGCGGUGGAGCAUGUGGUUUAAUUCGAAGAUACGCGAAGAACCUUACCUGGACUUGAUAUCCUUGGAAUCUUACAGAGAUGUGAGAGUGCUAGUUUACUAGAACCAAGUGACAGGUGCUGCACGGCUGUCGUCAGCUCGUGUCGUGAGAUGUUGGGUUAAGUCCCGCAACGAGCGCAACCCUCGUCCUUAGUUGCUAACAGUUCGGCUGAGCACUCUAAGGAGACUGCCUUCGUAAGGAGGAGGAAGGUGAGGACGACGUCAAGUCAUCAUGGCCCUUAUGUCCAGGGCUACACACGUGCUACAAUGGCUAGGACAAAGAGUAGCGAUACCGCGAGGUGGAGUAAAUCUUAAAACCUAGUCUCAGUUCGGAUUGGAGUCUGCAACUCGACUCCAUGAAGCUGGAAUCGCUAGUAAUCGUAGAUCAGCAAUGCUACGGUGAAUACGUUCCCGGGUCUUGUACUCACCGCCCGUCACACCAUGGGAGUCGAAUUCACCCGAAGUCGGAAUACUAGAUUAGUUACCGACCACGGUGGGUUCAGCAACUGGGGUGAAGUCGUAACAAGGUA
rnacentral:rRNA from 1 species